AUACGGAGGAUCCGAGCGUUAUCCGGAUUUAUUGGGUUUAAAGGGUGCGCAGGCGGCCAUUUAAGUCAGCGGUUAAAUCGUGGGGCUCCACCCCAUUCUGCCGUUGAUACUGGGUGGCUUGAUUGCGGUCGAGGUUGGCGGAAUUCGUUGUGUAGCGGCGAAAUGCAUAGAUAUGACGAAGAACACCGAUUGCGUAGGCAGCUGACCAGACCGCAAAUGACGCUCAUGCACGAAAGUGCGGGGAUCGAACAGGAUUAGAUACCCUGGUAGUCCGCACAGUAAACGAUGAAUACUUGUUUUCGGCGAUAUAAUGUCGGAGGCAAAGCGAAAGCGAUAAGUAUUCCACCUGGGGAGUACGCCGGCAACGGUGAAACUCAAAGGAAUUGGCGGGG
rnacentral:rRNA from 1 species